rnacentral:lncRNA from 1 species
GCAGCUUUGGUGGGCUCCGGCUUCCUUCACUCCAGCCCACCGCGUCCGAGAGACUUAGCAGGGCGUCAAACUGGAGAGCGGAAGGAUGGAACCUUUUAUUCUCAGGUGGAGAGGAUUAAGCUUUGCGGUGUUAGCAGAAAAUGAUCGAGCUCCAGAAAAUGAUUUGGAGUCUGCAGGUGUACCCAGCAGCUCCGAAGAGACAGCGACCAUCGAGAACAAGCCAUGAUGAUGAUGGUGGUUUGUCGAAAAGGAAAUGGGGAAAUGUGGGGAAAAGAGAGAUCAGACUGUUACUGUGUCUGUGUAGAAAGAAGUAGACAUAAGAGACUCCAUUUUGUUCUGUACUAAGAAAAAUUAUUCUGCCUUGAGAUGCUGUUAAUCUGUAACCCUACCCCCAACCCUGUGCUCCCUGAAACACGUGCUGUGUCAACUCAGGGUUAAAUGGAUUAAGGGCUGUGCAGGAUGUGCUUUGUUAAACAAAUGCUUGAAGGCAGCAUGCUUGUUAAGAGUCAUCAUCACUCCCUAAUCUCAAGUACCCAGAGACAAUACGCUGCGGAAGGCCGCAGGGACCUCUGCCUAGGAAAGCCAGGUAUUGUCCAAGGUUUCUCCCCAUGUGAUAGUCUGAAAUAUGCUGGCCGGGAAAGACCUGACCGUCCCCCAGCCCAACACCCGUAAAGGGUCUGUGCUGAGGAGGAUUAGUAAAAGAGGAAGGAAGGCCUCUUUGCAGUUGAGAUAAGAGGAAGGCAUCUGUCUCCUGCUCGUCCCUGGGCAAUGGGAUGUCUCGGUGUAAAACCCGAUUGUAUGUUCCAUCUACUGAGAUGGGGAAAACCGCCUUAGGGCUGGAUGUGGGACAUGCUGGCAGCAAUACUGCUCUUUAAGGCAUUGAGAUGUUUAUGUGUAUGCACAUCAAAAGCACAGCACUUUUUUCUUUACCUUGUUUAUGAUGCGGAGACGUUUGUUCACAUGUUUUCCUGCUGACCUUCUCUCCACUAUUACCCUAUUGUCCUGCCACAUCCCCCUCUCCGAGAAACGCCCAAUAAUGAUCAAUAAAUACUGAGGGAACUCAGAGACUGGUGCCGGUGCGGGUCCACUGUAUG